rnacentral:snRNA from 1 species
GGAUGUGAGGGUGAUCUGGCUGUAACAUCCUUCACCCCACUGAUUGCCACAGUUGAUUUGGCUGAUCUGGCUGGCUAGGUGGGUGUCUCCAUCCUCCCUCAAGCCUCCAUAUGUGUCCCUCCUGAAUCUGUGUGCUCAAUGGUCAAAGAGGACGACUGCCCCAGACAAAGAAGGACCAUGUCCUCGGAUGAGGGUAUACAAGUAGCUGCACUCCCCAGGUAAAACCUCCAAAGAGGCUCUCUAGGUCCAAAAAAACUGGAUAGAAAGGAGCCAAUCACAAAAAAUAUUAAACUCAUUGCAGUUCUAUUUCUAGAAAGUUCUG